CCAGACUCCUACGGGAGGCAGCAGUGGGGGAUAUUGCACAAUGGGGGGAACCCUGAUGCAGCGACGCCGCGUGGGUGAAGAAGCGCCUCGGCGCGUAAAGCCCUAUCGGCAGGGAAGAAGGAGGACGGUACCUGACUAAGAAGCCCCGGCUAACUACGUGCCAGCAGCCGCGGUAAUACGUAGGGGGCAAGCGUUAUCCGGAUUUACUGGGUGUAAAGGGGCGCAGACGGCAGCGCAAGCCAGGAGUGAAAGCCCGGGGCCCAACCCCGGGACUGCUCUUGGAACUGCGCGGCUGGAGUGCAGGAGGGACAGGCGGAAUUCCUGGUGUAGCGGUGAAAUGCGUAGAUAUCAGGAGGAACACCGGUGGCGAAGGCGGCCUGCUGGACUGCGACUGACGUUGAGGCCCGAAAGCGUGGGGAGCAAACAGGAUUAGAUACCCCCGUA
rnacentral:rRNA from 1 species